rnacentral:tRNA from 2 species
GCCCAGCUAGCUCAGUCGGUAGAGCAUGAGACUCUUAAUCUCAGGGUCGUGGGUUCAUGCCCCACGUUGGGCG